GAAACCCACCGGGAUUGCCUCCGGAGCGGCGAAUGAAACGGCAAAAGCUCAAAUUUGAAAUUCGGCGUUUUUGGCGUUCGAGUUGUAAUUUGAAGAAGGUAUUUUUGGGCCCGGCUUUUGUUUAUGUUCCUUGGAACCGGACGUCACAGAGGGUGAGAAUUCCGUGCGGUGAGAUGACCCGGGUUUGUGUAAAGUUCCUUUGGCGGGUCGAGUUGUUUGGGAAUGCAGCUUUAAGUGGGUGGUAAAUUCCCUUUAAAGGUUAAUUUUGGCGGGGGGCCGAUAGGGGACAAGUUCCAUGAAGGAAAGGUGAAAAGAACUUUGAAAAGAGAGUGAAAAAGUACGUGAAAUUGUUGAAAGGGAAGGGCCUGAGAUCCGACUUGGUAUUUUGCCUGGUGCUUUUUUGGGGGCGGCCGGUGCGGUUUACCGGGCCAGGAUCGGUUUGGAGCGGCCGGAUAAAGGGGGAGGAAUGGGGCAAGGGUUUCGCUGUGUGUUAUAG
rnacentral:rRNA from 1 species